rnacentral:ribozyme from 1 species
AGAAGGAGGGAAAGAAAAGUGAUGACGGUGGUAGGAAAAAGAAGUAAGAAGACGACAACAGGGCAGACAGACGUCCUCCUUUCUCUCUGAGUAUGCAUAUCGACUCAUCAAAAAAAGCUUAUACUUUUAAUUAAAAAAGGUGAAGGCUGGUGUAUACUACUGUUUUUCACUAGUAAUGACACAGUCAAAAUUCAGAUAAUAUGCUCUUGACGACAACUACUGUUUUUUUUUUUUUAAUUACUAAGAAUUGCAUUGGAAAAAAAAAA